GAGCAAUAUCUCAAGGAGAAGCAGAUCGUUAUUGACAACAAUCCAAAUCUCAAAACUGAUAUUUCUCAGAGUAACAAAGUUGUAGCCAAACUGAAAUCACAAGUAGAGGAGCAAUCACAGAAUGAGAAACAGAUCAUUACUGACCUUAAAGAAAAGGAGUUGUACAUAGCCAAACUAGUGAA